rnacentral:rRNA from 1 species
GACGAACGCUGGCGGCGUGCCUAAUACAUGCCAGUAGAACGCACAGUUUAUACCGUAUCUUGCUACACCAUAGACUGUGAGUUGCGAACGGGUGAGUAACGCGUAGGUAACCUGCCUGGUAGCGGGGGAUAACUAUUGGAAACGAUAGCUAAUACCGCAUAAUAUUGAUUAUUGCAUGAUAAUUGAUUGAAAGCUGCUAUUGCAUCCCUACCAGAUGUACCUGCGUUGUAUUAGCUAGUAGGUGAGGUAACGGCUCACCUAGGCGACGAUACAUAGCCGACGUGAGAGGGUGAUUGGCAGAACUGGGACUGGGACAAGGCCAAGGCUCCUACGGGAGGCAGCAGUAGGGAAACUUGGGCAAUGGACGGAAGUCGGACCGAGCAAAGGCGCGGGAGUGAAGAAGGUUUUCGGAUCGUAAAGGUCUGUUGUGAGGGGAGAACGGGUGUGAGAGUGGAAAGUUCACACUGUGACGGUAUCUUCCCAGAAAGGGACGGCUAACUACGUG